rfam:Nestor notabilis contig85595, whole genome shotgun sequence.
AUUAUGGCCUUAUUAAAGGCCAUAAUUACAAUAUAGGAGGUACUC